rnacentral:rRNA from 1 species
GACGAACCGAGCGAACGUUGUUCGGAAUCACUGGGCUUAAAGGGCGCGUAGGCGGGCAUCCAAGUCUGUGGUGAAAUACUCCGGCUCAACCGGAGAACUGCCUCGGAUACUGGGUGUCUCGAGGGGGAUAGGGGUGUGUGGAACUAUCGGUGGAGCGGUGAAAUGCGUUGAUAUCGAUAGGAACUCCGGUGGCGAAGGCGACACACUGGAUCUCAUCUGACGCUGAGGUGCGAAAGCGUGGGGAGCAAACAGG